GACGAACGCUGGCGGCGUGCUUAACACAUGCAAGUCAGGGGGCUCAGCAAUGGGUCACCGGCGAACGGGUGCGUAACACGUGAGCAACCUGCCCAAGUGUGGGGGAUAGCCGGCCCAACGGCCGGGUAAUACCGCAUACGCUUCACUGGGGACAUCCCCUAUGAAGGAAACCUUCGGGGCACAUGGAGGGGCUCGCGGCUUAUCAGCUAGUUGGUGAGGUAAUGGCUCACCAAGGCUACGACGGGUAGCUGGUCUGAGAGGAUGGCCAGCCACAUUGGGACUGAGAUACGGCCCAGACUCCUACGGGAGGCAGCAGUGGGGAAUAUUGCGCAAUGGCCGAAAGGCUGACGCAGCGACGCCGCGUGGGGGAGGAAGGUCUUCGGAUUGUAAACCCCUGUUGCCCGGGACGAAUCCUGGUUUCGACCAGAUUGACGGUACCGGGUGAGGAAGCACCGGCUAACUCUGUGCCAGCAGCCGCGGUAAU
rnacentral:rRNA from 1 species